rnacentral:miRNA from 1 species
AUGUGUUUGGGCGAAAAUAGG